AAAAAGGGUUUGUGUGUGGAGUGUCUGCGCCAUGGCUGGAACCUCGUGGGGUAGAGGAUGAUGCAUAAAACAGACAAGCUGAGAGCGUCUUUUGGCACCAUACCAGUGAACACAAUAUCUUCCCACUACUUAUUCAACAGCUGUGAUUCUGAUUGUUUUGCUACCAGAGUACAAAUACCUGGAAAACUCAGACGUCCUUUUUGGUCAGCCUAUGGUAAAUGAUGAUUUUUAAUUGAAAGCAUUAAUAUGUGAAUUUUGCAUGUGAAUUUGGACAAAUCUCUCCCAUACCCUUGACCUAUGAAUGACAGUAAAGCAUUGCACGGACACUGUUGGUAAACGGGCAUUCAUAUUCCUAAAUCAGGAAAUGCAGGACCUGAGAGGAAGGGGCAUUUCCAAGCAAAGGCAUAUCUUUCUCAAUACUGUCUUACAUGAACUGUAAAAGGCAACAGCUUUCCUCCGUUGCCACAUGCCUUCCCCAAACCUCCUUUGUUUGUAUCUAUAACAGAUUAAAUGCUCUGUCUGUUGUAUGCAAGAUGUGUGCUUUGUUGUAAGAUCAGCACGUAAAAGUAGCCCCGACAACCUUGCUGUCUCUACCCACCUGGCAAGACUGCUGUGCUGGCCAGGUUUGUAUUUACAUGGAACACCUUCCAGCGGGUAUGAGUCUGACAGGACACCAGUGCCAUCUGUACAGCCGCUCACAGGCCCAGUGCUUCCUUCUGCCUGCUGCAUGCAGCAGUUCUCUCUAGAAUCUGAAAAACUCCAGUCUAGGAUGAAAAACCCUUGGUAUUCUUCCUAGAUUUAUGGCUGGCUUGAGCAAGACACACAGAGUUCAUCUUCAUUAUGACGGAAAGCAAAAAAGGAGCAUAAGAACUGACACCAUACCAACUGUUAGCUGUCUUUUGUCUCUGUUUUGGAGCACAACAAUGAACUCUCCGGGACAAUUCUGCAAGACAAAGAUCUAACUCUAAACAACGUGUUUGUGUGAGCCAGUCACUGUCACGCAGCCGCUGAGCCAAAGACUGGUCCUUGACUUCUUUUGUUUAGCAGUAUAGACAUCUCAAUGACUCACUUAGGUAUGGAUACCUCUCAGCAUCUUUAUUAACUACAUUUUCUUGUAUGCUUUCUAGUUAGAACUGCCCUUUGGCUACCAGCAAGAAAAAUGAGUUCCUAACAGAGGUCUCCAAACAAGCAGAAGGUUAGAACACUCCCUGAAAGGAGAUACAAUACGAGGAGAUGGAGGAUGGAGCGAAAGGAUAUAAUGCCUAACGUCAGAAAUGGAAAGGAAGAAAAAGGGAUACAUAGCAAGAGACAGAAGAAAAAUUCAAACUUCUGACUCUGGAAACUAUUUAGCAAUGGCUUUAGUUUGUGAAUGUAACAAGGCCUGCAUUUCCUGUGGCAUUUCUAUAUAUUUUAUAUCUGGGUCCUGUUCUAAGAAGUGUAGGAUUUAUUAUAAUUUUACUUCAUUAAACUUCAUUUAUUCCAUUACUGUAGUAUUCAGUGAAGACCUAG
rnacentral:lncRNA from 1 species